CCCUAGUAACUGCGAGUGAAGCGGGAAAAGCUCAAAUUUAAAAUCUGGUGGUCUUCGGCCAUCCGAGUUGUAAUCUAGAGAAGCGUUACCCGCGUCGGACCGUGUACAAGUCUCCUGGAAUGGAGCGUCAUAGAGGGUGAGAAUCCCGUCUUUGACACGGACUACCGAGGCUUUGUGGUGCGCUCUCAAAGAGUCGAGUUGUUUGGGAAUGCAGCUCAAAAUGGGUGGUAAAUUCCAUCUAAAGCUAAAUAUUGGCGAGAGACCGAUAGCGAACAAGUACCGUGAGGGAAAGAUGAAAAGAACUUUGGAAAGAGAGUUAAACAGUACGUGAAAUUGCUAAAAGGGAAACGCUUGAAGUCAGUCGCGUUGGCCGGAAAUCAGCCCUGCUUUUGCUGGGUGUACUUUCUGGUUGACGGGCCAGCAUCAGUUUUGACCGGUGGAAAAAGUCUAGGGGAAUGUGGCAUCUUCGGAUGUGUUAUAGCCCUUGGUCGUAUACAUCGGUUGGGACUGAGGAACUCAGCACGCCGCAAGGCCGGGUCUUUGACCACGUUCGUGCUUAGGAUGCUGGCAUAAUGGCUUUAAUCGACCCGUCUUGAAACACGGACCAAGGAGUCUAACAUGCCUGCGAGUGUUUGGGUGGAAAACCCGGACGCGUAAUGAAAGUGAAAGUUGAGAUCCCUGUCAUGGGGAGCAUCGACGCCCGGACCAGAAGUUUUCUGACGGCCCUGCGGUAGAGCAUGUAUGUUGGGACCCGAAAGAUGGUGAACUAUGCCUGAAUAGGGUGAAGCCAGAGGAAACUCUGGUGGAGGCUCGUAGCGAUUCUGACGUGCAAAUCGAUCGUCAAAUUUGGGUAUAGGGGCGAAAGACUAA
rnacentral:rRNA from 1 species